GACGGACGCUGGCGGCGUGCUUAACACAUGCAAGUCGAACGGUGAAGGGGUCUGCUUUUGUGGGCCCUGGAUGAGUGGCGAACGGGUGAGUAACACGUGAGUAACCUGCCCCCUUCUUCUGGAUAACCGCAUGAAAGUGUGGCUAAUACGGGAUAUUCUGGGUCUGUCGCAUGAUGGGUCUGGGAAAGAUUGCGCCUUUGGGUGUUUUUGGUGGGGGAUGGGCUCGCGGCCUAUCAGCUUGUUGGUGGGGUGAUGGCCUACCAAGGCGGUGACGGGUAGCCGGCCUGAGAGGGUGGACGGUCACACUGGGACUGAGACACGGCCCAGACUCCUACGGGAGGCAGCAGUGGGGAAUAUUGCACAAUGGGCGCAAGCCUGAUGCAGCGACGCCGCGUGAGGGAUGGAGGCCUUCGGGUUGUAAACCUCUUUCGCCAGUGAAGCAGGCCUGCUCCUUGUGGGUGGGUUGACGGUAGCUGGAUAAGAAGCGCCGGCUAACUACGUG
rnacentral:rRNA from 1 species